ACGAAUCUGACUAAGAGGAAAUUCGGCGUAGUUUUCUAACAACUGGCAUCAGAGCUGGUUGGUUCGGCCGAAUAAUUGUUUUGGGGGAAAGUACUAUUCAUGUGAAUAGUAACUUUGUGAUUAGUGUUUUUCGUGAAUAGUGAAAAUUGGUCAGCAUUACCAAUUUUUUCGGUGGUUUGCAUAAAUUAUCAUAGGCGAUCCAGAGGAGUCAGGUUCAAGUAGGAACUAUGGCGGCAGACGAAGGAAAAGUGAAAAUCGAAAAGUUCGACGGUGCGGACUUCAGCUUUUGGAAGAUGCAAAUAGAGGAUUAUUUGUAUCAGAAAAGCAUGCAUCAACCUCUCACGAGUAAACCAGCAGAUAUGAAAGAAGAUGACUGGAAACUUCUUGAUAGAAAGGCUCUUGGAGUCAUUCGAUUGACGUUAUCUCGUAAUGUUGCCUUCAACAUUGCCAAAGAAAAGACUACGGCUGGUCUUAUGAAGGCCCUUUCUAACAUGUACGAAAAACCAUCGGCCUCAAACAAAGUUCAUUUGAUGAGGCGGUUGUUCAACUUACGGAUGGCAGAAGGUGCAUCAACGGCGCAACAUCUAAAUGAACUCAGCACAGUCACAACCCAGUUGAGUUCAGUUGGAAUCGACUUUGAUGAUGAAGUACGGGCUUUGAUACUCUUGUCUUCCCUACCAGAAAGUUGGAAUGCUACUGUCACAGCUGUGAGUAGCUCAUCGGGAAGCAACAAGUUAAAAUUUGAUGAUGUUCGUGAUUUGGUUCUCAGUGAGGAGAUCCGACGGAGAGAGUCGGGUGAAUCAUCAACCUCUUCAGUAUUGCAUACAGAGUCAAGAGGAAGGAGUUCAACCAAAGGAAGCGGACGCGGAAAAUCAAAAGAAAGGCGAUCCAAGUCCAGAAAUCAUCAUAGUUCUAACAACUCAAAGACUAUUGAGUGUUGGAAUUGUGGGAAGACGGGACACUAUAAAAACCAGUGCAGGAGUGCACCAAAGAGACAUGAGGCGAAAGAUGAGGCAAACGUUGCUUCAACCUCAAGAGGAGGUGAUGCAUUAAUAUGCUCUUUGGAGAACAAGGAAGAGUCGUGGGUGUUAGACUCUGGAGCAUCCUUUCACGCAACUUUGCAGAAAGAACUCAUCGAGAAUUAUGUCCCUGGAAACCUUGGUAAAGUUUACCUUGGUAAUGAACAAUCUUGCGAGAUUGUAGGAAAAGGUGUAGUGAAGAUUAUGUUGAACGGGUCUGUUUGGGAGCUGAAGAAUGUCAGACAUAUCCCCGACCUGACAAAGAACUUAAUCUCAGUAGGCCAGUUGGCCAGUGACGGCUACACAACAAUCUUCCACGGAGAUCAGUGGAAAAUUUCAAAGGGUGCAAUGACGAUAGCUCGCGGUAAAAAGAGUGGUACUCUUUACAAGACGGCAGGAGAAUGUCAUCUUAUUUCGGUGGCAGCAAGUGGAAAUCCCAACCUAUGGCACCAGAGACUUGGCCAUAUGAGUGAGAAAGGGAUGAAGGUAAUGCACUCGAAGGGCAAACUUGCAGGUCUUCAGUCAGUAGAAAUUGACAUGUGUGAAGACUGUAUAUUUGGAAAGCAGAAGAGAGUUAGCUUUCAGACAAACGGAAGGAAGCCAAAGAAGGAGAGACUCGAGCUCGUUCACUCUGAUGUUUGGGGUCCAACGACAGUCUCAUCCAUUGGUGGAAAACGAUACUUUGUGACUUUUAUUGACGACCACUCCAGAAAGGUAUGGGUAUACUUUCUGAAACAUAAAUCUGAAGUAUUUGAAGCUUUCAAGAUAUGGAAAGCCAUGGUGGAGAAUGAGACAGGGUUGAAGAUCAAAAAGCUCAAAACCGACAAUGGUGGUGAAUAUGAAGACACCAGAUUCAAGAAGUUUUGCUAUGGGCAUGGGAUCAGAAUAGAGAGGACCGUGCCAGGUACGCCUCAACACAAUGGUAUAGCUGAGCGCAUGAACCGAACAUUGACUGAAAGAGCCAGAAGCAUGCGUGUGCAAUCAGGUCUUCCAAAGCAUUUCUGGGCAGAAACAGUCAACACAGCAGCUUACUUGAUCAACCGAGGUCCAUCAGUGCCAUUGGAACAUAGACUACCAGAAGAGGUAUGGAGCGGAAAAGAGGUAAAACUCUCACAUCUUAGAAUUUUCGGCUGUACAGCAUAUGUACACAUCAGCGAUCAAGGCCGGAACAAGCUUGAUCCCAAAUCAAAGAAGUGUACUUUCAUUGGUUACGGUGAAGAUGAGUUUGGUUACCGUCUUUGGGAUGACGAGAACAGAAAGAUGAUCCGCAGUAGAGAUGUGAUCUUCAAUGAGAGGGUAAUGUACAAGGACAAGCAUGAUACAGGUGCCAUCAACUCAGAACCAAGUGGGCCAGUUUAUGCAGAUGUGGACGAUGUCCUUGAAAGACCCACAGUUGAUAGUCCUCAGCCAGAAGAAUCAACUGAACCAGGCAAUGUGCAGCAGUCUGACAGAACAGAGCAUUCUACUCCAGCUCCGGAGUUAAGGAGGUCUUCUCGAGUUCCUGUACCUAACAGGAAAUACAUGAGCUACAUGUUGUUGACAGAUGGAGGAGAACCUGAAGACUAUGCAGAAGCAUGUCAGACAGUAGAUGCGAACAAGUGGGAGCUUGCCAUGAAAGACGAGAUGAAGUCUUUGAUCUCAAAUCAAACAUGGGAACUAGAAGAGUUACCUAUGGGAAAGAAGACACUUCACAAUAAAUGGGUGUAUCGAGUGAAGCAGGAGCAUGAUGGCCCUAAAAGAUAUAAAGCUCGACUUGUUGUAAAAGGAUUCCAACAAAAGAAAGGAGUCGAUUACACCGAGAUUUUCGCACCAGUUGUGAAGCUCAAUACUAUCAGGUCUGUGUUAAGUAUUGUUGCCAGUGAAGAGCUCUACUUGGAGCAGUUGGACGUGAAGACUGCAUUUCUUCACGGAGACCUAGAUGAGGAGAUCUAUAUGCACCAACCAGAAGGUUUCUCAGAGAAAAAGAAUAUGGUGUGCAGAUUAAAGAAGAGCUUGUAUGGCCUAAAGCAAGCUCCAAGGCAGUGGUAUAUGAAGUUUGAGAGCUUCAUGCACAAGGAAGGUUUCAAGAAGUGCAAUGCUGACCACUGUUGUUUCUUCAAGAGAUAUAACUCUAGUUAUAUCAUUUUGCUACUUUAUGUCGAUGAUAUGUUAGUAGCAGGUCCAGAUAUGACCGAGAUCAGAAAUUUGAAGAAACAAUUGUCAAAAGAAUUUGACAUGAAAGAUUUAGGUCCAGCGAAGAAGAUCCUUGGAAUGCAAAUCACGAGAGAUAAGCAAAAGGGAACCUUGCAGUUAUCUCAGACAGAGUACAUCAACCGUGUUUUGCAGAGAUUCAACAUGGACAACGCCAAACCGGUUAGCACACCUUUGGCUAAUCAUUUUCGUCUAUCAAAGGAUCAGUCCCCUAAGACAGAGGAAGAUAAGGAAUUAAUGGCUAAGAUUCCAUAUGCUUCAGCCAUAGGAAGUUUGAUGUACGCGAUGGUCUGCACGAGGCCAGACAUUGGCCAUGCAGUGGGAGUUGUAAGCAGGUUUAUGUCAAAUCCAGGUAAAGCUCAUUGGGAAGCUGUGAAAUGGAUUUUGAGAUAUCUACGAGGCACUAAGGAGAAGUGUUUGUGCUUUAGUAAAGGUAAGUUAAAAGUACAAGGGUACGUAGAUGCAGACUUUGCAGGUGAAGUUGAUCACCGAAGAAGCACGACUGGUUACAUAUUUACUGUUGGUACUAGUGCUGUUAGUUGGAUGUCGCGGAUACAAAAGAUUGUUGCUCUAUCCACUACAGAGGCUGAAUAUGUCGCAGUAACAGAAGCUAGCAAAGAAUUGAUAUGGCUUCAGGGAUUGUUAACAGAGUUGGGUUUCAUCCAAGAGGAUAAUGUCUUGCACAGUGAUAGUCAGAGUGCAAUACAUCUGGCAAAGAAUUCAGCAUUUCACUCUCGAACGAAGCACAUUGAUCUCCGUUAUCACUUCAUCAGAUCUCUGAUUGAGGAUGAGGUACUAACAUUGAGGAAGAUCUUAGGAAGCAAGAAUCCAGCAGACAUGUUGACAAAGGUGGUGACCAUUGACAAACUGAAGUUAUGCUCAACUUCAGUUGGCCUGCUAGAAUAAUAUGCAAGAGAGGCUGCUGCAUGAUCGAGGUGUGAAGACCGACUGAAGUCAGUCUUCAAGUGGGAGAUUGUUAGAUCCACAGGCCUACAUUUCUAGCCAUACUAUUCCACCCUCUAUUUUUCAAUGGUAGUCAACAAAAGAAUAGUAACUUUGAAUUUUGACCAAGAGAAUAGUAACUUUGAAGUUUGACCAAGAGAAUAGUAACUUUGAAUUUGACCAAAAGAAUAGUAACUUUGAAUUUGACCACAUGAAUCAUAUAAAUACUCAUUGAAGUUGUAGGAAAAUUCAAUUUUUUCUCAAGACAAUGAAUGCAUUUGCAUUUGACAGAAAAAUUGUAAUUUGAGAGUUAGAGAAAUUUUCUAGUGUGAGAAAAAUUUCUGUGAGAGAAACUCUUGGGUGUAAUUGGGUUGUGGGUGAGAGAAACUUUUGAGUGUUUGUAAACACAGUGUAUUUUUCUCUUUUCAGUAAAAGGUCUGCAGCAGCCCGGAGACGUAGGCAUACUUGGCCGAACUCCGUUAUCAAUUGUGUGUGUGUUUUUAUGCUUCCGCAUAUUAUUGUUUUUACGAAUCUGACUAAGAGGAAAUUCGGCGUAGUUUUCUAACAAUAACCCUUAUCUUCUGUCCAUAUCUCUUUAUAACCCAUUGAUAUCAAAUUGUGUUAUAAAUUAACCAACAAUCAUUAGCUCUAAUAUCCACUUCAUAUCUCUGAUUUAGAUCUGGCACAAGUAACUAUGAAAGAAAAUGAUGCUGAUGAUGCUCUAGGUGCUCUUGAAAGUAGGCUUUUGGAGAUAAUAUCUCAAACAACUAAAGAGGAGCAUGAACUCCAAGCCCAACAGAAAAUUUAUGCGAGCGU